CCAAAACAUUUGCUUGCUUGGGCCUCACCGCUCCUGCAAACAUACACCCCCUCUGCGUACCUGUCCCUGUUGCUUCCGUCAGCCAGCGGGCGAGCCCUGGGCCCGCCCCCUCCGGUGCCUGAUCCAUCCAGGGUCGGCUGGAGAGCCGCUGGCGGUGAGCCAUACACGUAAACACCUGUCACAUGUCUGCACGUGUCUGAGCUUCAAUGCUAUGAAACAUAACAAGUUA
rnacentral:misc_RNA from 1 species